AGUGAACGCUGGCGGCAGGCCUAACACAUGCAAGUCGAGCGGCAGCGGGUCCUUCGGGAUGCCGGCGAGCGGCGGACGGGUGAGGAAUGCAUCGGAAUCUGCCUCUAUGUGGGGGAUAACGUAGGGAAACUUACGCUAAUACCGCAUACGACCUACGGGUGAAAGCCGGGGACCUUCGGGCCUGGCGCAGAGAGAUGAGCCGAUGCCGGAUUAGCUAGUUGGCGGGGUAAAGGCCCACCAAGGCGACGAUCCGUAGCUGGUCUGAGAGGAUGAUCAGCCACACUGGAACUGAGACACGGUCCAGACUCCUACGGGAGGCAGCAGUGGGGAAUAUUGGACAAUGGGCGCAAGCCUGAUCCAGCCAUGCCGCGUGAGUGAAGAAGGCCUUCGGGUUGUAAAGCUCUUUUGUUGGGGAAGAAAAGCUUCCGGUUAAUACCCGGGAGUCCUGACGGUACCCAAAGAAUAAGCACCGGCUAACUUCGUGCCAGCAGCCGCCGUAAAAC
rnacentral:rRNA from 1 species